rnacentral:rRNA from 1 species
UACGUAGGGUGCGAGCGUUGUCCGGAAUUAUUGGGCGUAAAGAGCUCGUAGGCGGUGUGUCGCGUCGGCCGUGAAAACUUGCAGCUUAACUGUGGGCGUGCGGUCGAUACGGGCAUCACUGGAGUUCGGCAGGGGAGACUGGUAUUCCUGGUGUAGCGGUGAAAUGCGCAGAUAUCAGGAGGAACACCGGUGGCGAAGGCGGGUCUCUGGGCCGAUACUGACGCUGAGGAGCGAAAGCGUGGGGAGCGAACAGG